UGCGGUGUUCAUGGUUCAAUGGCCACCAUCCCCAUCACUGGCACUGGCAUCAACCCGGCUAGGAGCUUUGUGCUGCAGUUAUCUACAACAACGGCAAAGUGUGGGAUGACCAAUGGAUCUUCUGGGUUGGACCAUUUGUGGGGCACUCGCAGCAGCAGCAUACCACCAAUACAUCCCUCAAGCAGCUGCCAUCAAGGCCCUCGGAUCCUUCCGCAGCAACCCAACCAACUAAGAUCUUUGCGAUUUUCCCCUUUUUAUUUCAUUUGUUUGUUUGUGUGAAUGAGAGAGGAGUAUUAUGAUGAAUGGAUGGAUGGAGAUGGAUGGUGAUGAUGGACCCUAUCUUAAUUUAUUGAUGCUUCGGUAUCUAGCAAGGGUAGAGUUUGGACCUUGUAUCAUUAUUAUUGCUGUUAUUAUGGUUCAUGAUUAGUGGUGGAAUUGUUUCCUUUAUCUUC